rnacentral:lncRNA from 1 species
AGUCUUUUCCCACGGGCACUGACAAUUGUGGGGAGGUGAAAAUACUGAGUUUAUUUGAAUGUGAUCGAUCUUGCAAUCAAUCGCAUAUGAGUACGGCUCAGAUCAUGGGUACACUGAGUGUAUGUUGAACAAAAAAUCCAUUUUCAAAGGAUAUGUAAAAAAUUUCAAAGUUGCUUUUACAACUAUGUCCAGGAAAGACUUUAUAGAACCUAGUAGGAGCAAAGUUUGCUAUGUUUGGUUUGCACCAAGUCCAGGAAAAAGCUAAAACGACAUUAAUAGUGGGUAAAAACCAUGGCCAUUUUGUUACAUCAUGAUGACUACAAAUUUUGAUCAACAAAUGCCCCAUGUACAAAAGCAAUAUACAGACCAUAACUACCACCUAACAUAAGAUAAAUACUCUUAUUUUCUCAUUAAAUUGUUUCCAUGUAUAUUUAAGUAAAUUGCAUGAUUUUACUGGCGAUAAAUCUACAUUCCGCUCAUAAUCAUUAGUGUCUUAUUUACAUUAAUGCUAGACGACGCAUGUAUCUACUGCAACAAAGUGUUUUUUCGUCACAAAGACCACAUGGCUUAAUAUGUACACUUUAGUACUGUACACGGGAAAAACUGAGAUUUGUGAUUGUAAAAUUACGUAAUUUAUGGUCAUAUAUAUAACUCGCAAGUGAUUGGUGUCCUGUGCGUUAUGAGCCAAAGAACACACGCUGCAACUUUGGGUAAAAUUGUGAUAUGUUGUAAAUUUGCUUAAUACAUUCCACAAGUUGUUUACUAAAAGCAACGCGUCAUUGGUUUGUGCCAAGCACGUUGUGAUUUACAAAGAGAGCUUGAUCUGCGUUCGUGUCUGUUGGUUUUGACACGUUAUGAGCGGAAGACAAUUUGAUCCAGGGACGUUUUUCUUCAAUUUGGUUGAUAACCGAGCAGUGCACACGAAUGGAAGGUUGAAAGUGUUGAUGAUGAUGGAACAGAGCUGCGUUUCCUGAGGAAAAUGGGGCAGCACUAUGUCAUAUCUGAUGUAUUGGACACCUCGUUUUUUUUUCUCCAGUAAGAUCCUGGACAUUAUGCCUGUUCCAAGGAUUUCUUUUAAAGACACAAAUUGCCUACAUGAUUUCUGUUUAGUAUUGGAUCCCAAUGAUCAAAUUACAAGUUUUAUUCCAGUGAUUGCCAACUAUUUUUUCCUCAUAUUUCGUUUAUUUUAUUUUUUUCUUCUCCCAAUCAUUAAAGUAAGAUGUUAUAACUUAACAUUAAUUGAGAGGCAAUAUUAUCCUGCUGAGUAUAUUUACAGAGCUUCUACUUCCAAUCUUUUAUAUUCAUUAUAAAAGUGAACUCGAAAUAUUACAAAGAUUCAGUUUUUAAAAACAUAUUUUACCGGUUUUCUGUGUCACAAGUCUAUAGCAUAUAUAUACUAGUACAUUGUAUUUUUUUUUUUUUAUUAUUACUCAAGACAAGCUAACACAUCCUAGGAAUGAUUAAGUCAUUCUGUCAAAUGGGGUCACAUCUGUAUGAUUUGCAGUGUUUUAUGAUGUAUUUUGGCAUAAUCAGUGUCUGUGUUAUGCGCAGAAGGUGAUUUGAAAUAGUCUUUCUACUUCAAUGUGUGCUAUUGAUUUUGGGUUAUCAUAAAUGAUGAAUAAAUCUAUUUCCAUGUA